GCAUUCACUUUAAAUAGGGCACCGUCUAAAUCCGUUGAGACGACACCGUAUGAAUUAUGGUUUGGGAAGAAACCUAAGCCGUCGUUUCUAAAAGUUUGGGGAUGCGAUGCUUAUGUCAAGAAACUUCAACCUGAAAAGCUCGAACCCAAAUCGGAAAAAUGCGUCUUCAUAGGAUACCCUAAGGAAACUAUUGGGUAUACCUUCUACCUCAGAUCCGAAGGCAAGAUCUUCGUUGCCAAGAACGGGUCCUUUCUAGAGAAGGAGUUUCUCUCGAAAGAAUUGAGUGGGAGGAAAGUGGAACUUGAUGAGGUGAUAGUCACCCCUUCCGAACCGGAAAGUAGCGCAGCGCGGGAAAAUGUUCCUGUGGUGCCUACACCGACUGGGGAGGAAGUUAAU
rnacentral:rRNA from 1 species